rnacentral:rRNA from 1 species
GGGAGGCAGCAGUGAGGAAUAUUGGACAAUGGAGGAGACUCUGAUCCAGCCAUGCCGCGUGCAGGAAGAAUGCCCUAUGGGUAGUAAACUGCUUUUAUACGGGAAGAAAAAGGGCUACGUGUAGCCUACUGACGGUACCGUAAGAAUAAGGACCGGCUAACUCCGUGCCAGCAGCCGCGGUAAUACGGAGGGUCCGAGCGUUAUCCGGAAUUAUUGGGUUUAAAGGGUCCGUAGGCGGGCCGAUAAGUCAGGGGUGAAAGUCUGCCGCUCAACGGUAGAACUGCCUUUGAUACUGUCGGUCUUGAGUUAUAGUGAAGUUGCCGGAAUAUGUAGUGUAGCGGUGAAAUGCAUAGAUAUUACAUAGAACACCGAUUGCGAAGGCAGGUGACUAACUAUAUACUGACGCUGAUGGACGAAAGCGUGGGGAGCGAACAGGAUUAGAUACCCUGGUAGUCCACGCCGUAAACGAUGGAUACUAGCUGUCCGGGUCCUUGAGACCUGGGCGGCCAAGCGAAAGUGAUAAGUAUCCCACCUGGGGAGUACGUUCGCAAGAAUGAAACUCAAAGGAAUUGACGGGGGCCCGCACAAAAGGG